rnacentral:misc_RNA from 1 species
CUGGUCGUGACAGUUUGAUAGUAGCUCAAAGCGUUCUUUUAAAUAGGAAGGCGUCUUUGGAUUAAACAGUACGCAGUAGAGAAGUGAGAGUGUGACUAUUCCGGCGAAGUCGAAUUGGGUGCCACCCGAGCUUUUUGCGAAACUCAGAAAUGUGAUAUUGUCAUCCGUCAAAUAGCAUUAUCCACAAAAGGUGAAACAGGC